GUUCAUAUCAGGUGCCGCGCAGAGCCCCGUAAUAGUAUGCCUAUCAUUCCUGCGAAAAAUGAACUGGCCUCUGUUUACGAGAGCAUUCGAAUUACUUUGUCUAAAAUACAAGAAGAUUCUGCAAAGAGGAGUAGCCAAGAGCAGCAGCUGAUCUCAUCAGUGGCGAGCGCUAAGUGCCUAGCUGGCAUUUUCUCAGCGCAUCCUCCAACCAACAAUGAAGUAGUGCGGGCUCUCAAAAGUGCCGGUGAAGAAGAGCAGGUGGAAGCAGAGUGUCUGCAGCGCUACCGGCGGUUUGUAGAAGCGAAAAAGCGCUGCUUUACUUCUGUGGAGGCUGACCUGCGGUCUGUAUCCAAGGUGCUCUCCGGUGUUUUGGCAGCCAACGAAAAAGUGGAGGAGCCCACUAGUGGUGAUUACCGUCCUGAGGUGCAGGAAAAUCAAUGCGAUGCUGAGUUGCUGCACUUGUUUCGUCUGUGGCGCACGGUCGUGUGCUUGCACGAUUUAGUGCUAGGCUCGUUAAUCAAAAGGGGUUUUGAUGAUCCUCCAUGCGAACUUCAGCUUUUCAGUGCCGAUGAAGAGAGAUCUUAUGCUCGUGAAUCAGCGUUGAGGAAUACUGUCGCCGAUACAGAAAAAAUGCUUCUUGCGAUCCGGAAGCGCUGGAGAGCCCUAACUGCGGAAGCGGAGGCAGUGCGUGCCAAAGCGGAAAGCAUGACACCUCUGCCAUUUUCGGAUGAAGCCACUGCUCUGAUUGCGAAUGAAAAAGACGAGCCUCUUGUCGCGAGCAUAAGUCAAGGACUUCAUGAGCUGCAGCAAUCCAGCGAUCGUCUGAGAAAGAAAAAGGUUGCCGUUGAUGAAGGCGCUGCAGCUCUGAUAGAAAAGGUGAGAAGCCUAAGCUCGCAAACAGCAGCCUGCCGCUGCUCUGUGGAGGCAUUUUCACAGCGCUCUAGAGAAGCUGCGGAUGAUGCUAACAGUUUGAUGAGUGCGAAAGCGAGAGCUCUCCAGGAACUGCAUCGAAAAGCACAAGAAUGCGCAUCGGAGCAGGGACUUCUUGACAGAGAUGUCGGCAGCUACAGGCAGCUGUGUGCACUUCUUGUGGAGUGGGCAGAAAAAGAAAAUUCGGAUGCGGAGCGUAUUGUAGCAGCUGAGAAAGCGUAUCAUUCUUUGCUUUCCAAAGAAAGAACGCAACAAGAGAAACUCACUUGUCUGCGGUUGGCAAUAAAAAACCUUGAGAGUCAAGUGCGUGAUGCUUCAAUAGAAAAACAACGCAUUGUAGGCGAAGUGCAAUACUUGUCGAAGCUGGUUUCCAAUCCCACUGUGGUGAAGCAGGUGCUGGCCAGGGCAAUCGAGGAGUUCCAUCCUGAGCGUGAAGUGACCGCAGUUCAUAACUAUCUGAGAUUUGUACAAAAGGCUCGUCUGAAAAGACAUACUUCCCACGAGUAAUAUCGGGUAUUUAGACUUCUUCGAAUUCGCUUGUCGCAUCUACCAAGCAAUACGACUGUGACCUUACCUCUUCACUUGCCAUGUUUGGUUUUCUCUUUAGCUUGUACGCGGUAAAUUCCCUAUCUUGAAGCACUCAGGCUCAGUGUGCAGAAUCCCCCCAAAACAAAACCAAAUG
rnacentral:misc_RNA from 1 species